UGGGGAAUUUUGGACAAUGGGGGAAACCAUGAUCCAGCCAUCCCGCGAGUGAGAUGAAGGCCUCCGGGUUGUAAAGCACUUUUGGCAGGAAAGAAACGUCAUGGGUUAAUACCCCGUGAAACUGACGGUACCUGCAGAAUAAGCACCGGCUAACUACGUGCCAGCAGCCGCGGUAAUACGUAGGGUGCAAGCGUUAAUCGGAAUUACUGGGCGUAAAGCGUGCGCAGGCGGUUCGGAAAGAAAGAUGUGAAAUCCCAGAGCUCAACUUUGGAACUGCAUUUUUAACUGCCGGGCUAGAGUGUGUCAGAGGGAGGUGGAAUUCCGCGUGUAGCAGUGAAAUGCGUAGAUAUGCGGAGGAACACCGAUGGCGAAGGCAGCCUCCUGGGAUAACACUGACACUCAUGCACGAAAGCGUGGGGAGCAAACAGG
rnacentral:rRNA from 1 species